ACACUCCUCUUCACAUUCCCGACUUACACGCAGAGGGAAAGAGAAUUCAUAAAGGGAAUAUUUUUCUGCCUUUGAAGAUAUUCUCACAAGAUCGUUCUCCACGCCCAAGGCAAGUAAAACGACACAAUCUGGCUCAACUCCAGGCUCGAACCCUACACAUUCAACGAGGCUAUCUCAGACACGCUGUGGCACACGCCACGGGGAGCCAGAGAACGUGUGGUGGGGGUGGCGAAGGUAAUGCCUUUGGGAAGCAGCCAUCUGAGGUGGGAAGCCAGAAAACGAGAGGGAAGGCGUCCAGGAAGAUUACGGAGGGGAGAUCGCGGCCCCCAGAGCGAUCAGAGUUGUCUGUCACAAGGCCGCGAGAACGGGGGUAGGGAGUGGGGGAUCGGGGAGAGAAAAAAAGUAUGCCUGUGUAUUUCGAGCGGAGGGCAGCAAGAGGCCUCUCCUCAAGGGAAAGGUGUGGAAACAGGAAGAGAACUAGAACUGGAAGUAAAGCAUUGAAGAUGUGACUGAAUUGCUGCAAUCUCAUGAUCAAAUUUGAAUGGAUGAGGAGUUGCUUUUUAGGGAUGAGCAAAGAAAGUGGUUUCUCGAGAUGGAAUCUACUGGUGAAGUUGCUGUGAACAUUGUUAAAAUGCCAAUAAAGGAUUUAGGAAUUACAGAAACCUGGUUGAUAAAGCAGUGCCAGGGUGUGAGAGAGUUGACUUCAAUUUUGAAAUAAGUUCCACUGGCUGGGUGUGGUGGCUCACACCUGCAAUCCCAGUACUUUAGGAGGCCGAGACUGGUAGAUCAUUUGAGGUCAGGAGUUCAAGACCAGCCUUGCCAACAUGGUGAAACCCCACCUCUACCAAAUUAGCCAGGUGUGGUGCACACCUGUAGUCCCAGCUACUUGGGAAGCUGAGGCAGGAGAAUCUCUUGAACCAGGGAGGAGGAGGUUGCA
rnacentral:lncRNA from 1 species